CCUAAGUGGGUGGUAAACUCCAUCUAAGGCUAAAUAUGACCACGAGACCGAUAGCGAACAAGUACCGUGAGGGAAAGUUGAAAAGCACUUUGAAGAGAGAGUUCAAGAGUACGUGAAACCGUUCAGGGGUAAACCUGAGAAACCCGAAAGGUCGAAAGAGGAAAUUCAUUCGCGUUUCGAUCGCUGAAGUUGGAUGUUUGUAUGACGGAUGAUGUGUUUCGGCGCAUGAGUCCGCGUCUUAUGUUCAUCGAGUCGGUGUCGAACGCGUGCACUUUUCCUCUAGUAGGACGUCGUGAUCCGUUGGGUGUCUGUCUAAGACUCGGGGUGGAGACCACGUGAUUAUUUGAUCAUGUGGACCCUCGAUGUUCCGACAGACUCGCUCGACGGUAUAAUUAUGGCGCGAGGCCGCUACUUAAGUUAGCGUUCGGCCCGUAGCAAGCACGUUCCGUGUUUGAUGGCGAUCGGACCUAGUGCCGAUUCUGUCCCGGAACGACUGUUGGUUACGGUGUUCUCGAACAGACCUCGUUUGAAACGCCGAUCAACGACGCUAUAGAUUUGGGUACUUUCAGGA
rnacentral:rRNA from 1 species